AGCCCGUGUGGCUCAAUGGCAGAGCACGUCAUUCGUAAUGAUGAGGUUGGGGGUUCGAAUCCCCCCGCGGGCUA
rnacentral:tRNA from 1 species